GCGGGAGUGGCGGAAUUGGCAGACGCACCAGACUUAGGAUCUGGCGCCUUCGGGCGUGGGGGUUCAAGUCCCUUCUCCCGCACCA
rnacentral:tRNA from 4 species